rnacentral:rRNA from 1 species
GACGAACGCUGGCGGCGUGCCUAACACAUGCAAGUCGAACGAAACGUCCGGGUCUUUUGGCGCAUGAGUGUGUAACGCGUGGGGACCUUCCCUUAUGUUCGGCAUAACUCCCCGACAGGGGUGCUAAUGCCGGAUAGUGUCUUCGGACCAAAGAUUUAUCGCGUUUGGAUGGGCCGUCGUUGGAUUAGAUAGUUGGUACGGUAAGAGCAUACCAAGGCGACGAUCCAUAGCUGGUCUGAGAGGAUGAGCAGCGACACUGGGACUGAGACACGGCCCAGAAUCCUACGCAAGGGGGGAGAGGGGAACAGAGGAACGUGGCGGGAGGGCUGAUGGAGCACGGCCGGGUAAGUUAUGAUGGUAGUGGGGUAGUAAUGCGCUUUUACCCGUGAUGAUAAUGACGGUACCGGGAGAAUAAGCCCCGGCUAACUACGUG